rnacentral:rRNA from 1 species
UACGUAGGGGGCAAGCGUUAUCCAGCUUUACUGGGCGUAAAGCGCGCGUAGACGGUUUUGUAAGUCAGAUGUGAAAUCCCUGGGCUCAACCUGGGAACUGCAUUUGAGACUGCAUGGCUAGAGUAUCGAAGAGGGAAGUGGAAUUUCCGGUGUAGCGGUGAAAUGCGUAGAUAUCGGAAGGAACACCAGUGGCGAAAGCGACUUCCUGGUCGAAUACUGACGUUCAUGUGUGAAAGCGUGGGGAGCAAACAGG